rnacentral:rRNA from 1 species
GACGAACGCUGGCGGCGUACUUAACACAUGCAAGUCGAACGAAGUGGCGAACGGGUGAGUAACGCGUAAUCAACCUGCCCUUCAGAGGGGGACAACAGUUGGAAACGACUGCUAAUACCGCAUACUGAAGGAGGGGAUUGCGUCGGAUUAGCUAGUUGGAGGGGUAACGGCCCACCAAGGCGAUGAUCAGUAGCCGGUCUGAGAGGAUGACCGGCCACAGUGGGACUGAGCAACGGCCCAGACUCCUACGGGAGGCAGCAGUGGGGAAUUUUGUACAAUGGGCGCAAGCCUGAUCCAGCCAUGCCGCGUGUCUGAAGAAGGCCUUCGGGUUGUAAAGGACUUUUGUCAGGGAAGCGGUACCUGAAGAAUAAGCACCGGCUAACUACGUGCCAGCCGCCGCGGUAAUUC